CAACCAGUCCCACAAGGCUUUGCGUUCAUGCGAGUAGAGGAUUACUCUAAUGUGAAAAUCAUAGGGAUGUGUAGAAGGAUGCGCAAGUAGAGAACGGAAAAGAUUUCUAUCUCAGGAAUGUCUUUUGGCAGUAUUUAGGAGGAGGAGUGGGAAGCAGGCCAAACUGAGGAAAGCCAUGCUACUGCUCUAUGCCAGGGAACGGUGAUGGAGACAUACGGCGGAAGUACUGAGUGAAGCCUUCGGUUUUGAGCUAGAGCUUCAGGAUAGAGACACUAAGGCCUCUUCGGUGUGUGAAACGUCUACGUGCACACAAUCAGCAUUAGAGAGGAAAAAAUAUCCUUGCCUGAAGUAUGCAUUUUCUUCUAUUUCUAACACAUGCAAACCCAAUGCAGGUGCUGGCAAGCUGUUUGCCGGGGGCUCUGACAAUGAUGUAAGGAAGACCAGGGCCAACCGACCACCAUCUCCAAAGAGCGGUGCGGACCAUGUGUGGUGUGAACACUGCCUGUUUGUCCUUGCUGCAGUCCCAGUUAGCUGUGUGCUAACUGCACGAAUAAAGAACACUUCUGUGGAGCAACCUAACAUGUCUGUUUUCCAGAUUUCUGAAGAAAAAAAAAGCUUGAGACAUUCUAAUCUUAGCCAACAUUCUCGCUCAGCAUUG
ensembl:lncRNA AABR07014306.2